UCACUAGUUAUCAUUAUCUCCAUAAAAUCUAAAUAUCCUUUCCUAGAAUACUAUUUUAUUUAUUAAUCCUCUAAUACCUUUUUCCGUCACACUCACUUCCAACCAUCUCUAUUUCCAUGAUAUGAGAAAUAAUUGAUUUUUCAGUCUCAAUGAAGGACUUAAGAACUGAUCUAAUGCGUGACCAAUUACCAUGUUUAUUUAUCUCAUUUUGGAUGCUAUAUAUGAAUUGUAAUUUGUAGUUUUUUUUUUUGGCUUUGUAGUUUCUUUUUUGGCUUUCUUUUUUGUAGUUUCCUUUUUGGUUUUCUUGAAUCUAUCCAGAGAAUCUAAGGGCCUUAGCAAAAUAUUAUGAAUUUUUACAGCAACAGGAUAGCUUAUCUUUUGGAGAAGAUGACAAUACCAAGCAGAAGCAUUCAACAAAAGCAACAAUAUGUCUGCACCUCUUUCUCCCCCGACAGAUGAAUUCUGGUCUAGUACUAAUAGUAGUGAAUAAACCAUUUUCUUGCGGCUAAUUUAUCAACGAAGGGCUAUUCAGAUCUCCUUGCAGAGCAUCCUUCGGGGAUUUAUUUUGGUUGGGCUGGAUUAUCAUCCAGAGGUGUUUU